rnacentral:rRNA from 1 species
UGAGGAAUAUUGGUCAAUGGGCGCAAGCCUGAACCAGCCAUCCCGCGUGAAGGAUGAAGGCCCUAUGGGUCGUAAACUUCUUUUGUACACCAAGAAAAAGCAGGACGAGUCCUGUCCCGACGGUAGUGUAUGAAUAAGCAUCGGCUAACUCCGUGCCAGCAGCCGCGGUAAUACGGAGGAUGCGAGCGUUAUCCGGAUUCAUUGGGUUUAAAGGGUGCGUAGGCGGCUUUUUAAGUCAGUGGUGAAAUCUUGCCGCUUAACGGUAAAAUUGCCAUUGAUACUGAUAAGCUUGAGUACAAUUGAGGUAAGCGGAAUGUGUAGUGUAGCGGUGAAAUGCUUAGAUAUUACACAGAACACCGAUUGCGAAGGCAGCUUACUAAACUGUCACUGACGCUGAUGCACGAAAGCGUGGGGAGCGAACA